AGAGCGAACGCUGGCGGCAGGCCUGACACAUGCAAGUCGAGCGCGUGUAGCAAUACACGAGCGGCAGACGGGAGAGUAACACGUGGGAACGCGCCCUUCGGUUCGGAAUAACCCAGGGAAACUUGAGCUAAUACCGGAUACGCCCUUACGGGGAAAGAUUUAUUGCCGAAGGAACGGCCCGCGUCCGAUUAGCUAGUUGGUGAGGUAACGGCUCACCAAGGCGACGAUCGGUAGCUGGUCUGAGAGGAUGACCAGCCUCACUGGGACUGAGACACGGCCCAGACUCCUACGGGAGGCAGCAGUGGGGAAUAUUGGACAAUGGGCGCAAGCCUGAUCCAGCCAUGCCGCGUGGAUGAUGAAGGCCUUAGGGUUGUAAAGUCCUUUUAACGGGGAAGAUAAUGACGGUACCCGUAGAAUAAGCCCCGGCUAACUUCGUGCCAGCAGCCGC
rnacentral:rRNA from 1 species